rnacentral:lncRNA from 1 species
UUCUUUUCUUUUUUUUCUUGAGAACAAUAUAAAGAUCUACUUAUUUCAUUCAUUAAGAAAAAACGAACUUAACAAUAAAGGUAAGAUAGAGAGACUUUAAAGAAGAAAUAGAAAGAAAGAAAGAUGAGAGAGAAAGGAAGAGGGAGAGGACGAUAGAAGAAAAGAAAUAGAGAUUAAUAAGAUUUAUCUCACUGAUUCAGCGUC